rnacentral:lncRNA from 1 species
AUUACUGCAGGUGCUGUCAGAAUGGUAUAAUUUAAGUCCUGUUUUUUGUUUUUUUUUUUUCUUUUUUCCAGUGCAAGAAAAGGAGCUAAUCAUUAUAAAAACUCCCAUUGUUUAGGAAGUCACUACUCAAAAUGAAUUCAGCUUUUUUGAUGACAAGUGAUUUCUCUCACCCCAAGGAGCAUUUCAGAGCAUCCACACAACAACCAUGCAUGAACCCCAGCUGGUGAAGGUAUGGGACCCUCCUUUCAGCUGUGGUACAAUAAAGCUGUUAGAAAGCAAGAUUUUCAUUGGAGGUGAAAUGAGUGAUCCAUCUGUCUGAGAACAUUCCCAUUUAUCCUCCAGGGAGAGAAUGUAUCACACUCGGGCCUGUCUGAACUAUCAUUUCGUCUGCAAGAGGCAGAACAAGGACUGAACAAGGAACUGGGUGAAAUAAAGUCAACCUAAACCUGUGGGUUAAUACCUGC